rnacentral:rRNA from 1 species
UGCAAGUCGAGCGGAACGAGUUAUCUGAACCUUCGGGGAACGAUAACGGCGUCGAGCGGCGGACGGGUGAGUAAUGCCUAGGAAAUUGCCCUGAUGUGGGGGAUAACCAUUGGAAACGAUGGCUAAUACCGCAUGAUGCCUACGGGCCAAAGAGGGGGACCUUCGGGCCUCUCGCGUCAGGAUAUGCCUAGGUGGGAUUAGCUAGUUGGUGAGGUAAGGGCUCACCAAGGCGACGAUCCCUAGCUGGUCUGAGAGGAUGAUCAGCCACACUGGAACUGAGACACGGUCCAGACUCCUACGGGAGGCAGCAGUGGGGAAUAUUGCACAAUGGGCGCAAGCCUGAUGCAGCCAUGCCGCGUGUGUGAAGAAGGCCUUCGGGUUGUAAAGCACUUUCAGUCGUGAGGAAGGUGGUGUAGUUAAUAGCUGCAUUAUUUGACGUUAGCGACAGAAGAAGCACCGGCUAACUCCGUGCCAGCAGCCGCGGUAAUACGGAGGGUGCGAGCGUUAAUCGGAAUUACUGGGCGUAAAGCGCAUGCAGGUGGUUUGUUAAGUCAGAUGUGAAAGCCCGGGGCUCAACCUCGGAAUAGCAUUUGAAACUGGCAGACUAGAGUACUGUAGAGGGGGGUAGAAUUUCAGGUGUAGCGGUGAAAUGCGUAGAGAUCUGAAGGAAUACCGGUGGCGAAGGCGGCCCCCUGGACAGAUACUGACACUCAGAUGCGAAAGCGUGGGGAGCAAACAGGAUUAGAUACCCUGGUAGUCCACGCCGUAAACGAUGUCUACUUGGAGGUUGUGGCCUUGAGCCGUGGCUUUCGGAGCUAACGCGUUAAGUAGACCGCCUGGGGAGUACGGUCGCAAGAUUAAAACUCAAAUGAAUUGACGGGGGCCCGCACAAGCGGUGGAGCAUGUGGUUUAAUUCGAUGCAACGCGA